ACGAGUUGGUCACUUAGUGAGUCAACCCAACCCGACUCACCACGAGUUGGUCACUUAGUGAGUCAACCCAACCCGACUCAUUUAUUACCGAAUCAGAAAAACUUGAACCCGACCCGACCCACCACAGGUUGGUGGGUAAACGGGUUGGCUCACUAGCCCAUUUAAUUAUAUUUUUUUUAAAUAAAAAAAUACAAACUUUCUAUAAUUUAAAUUAUGUUAAAGACCAAUUCCGAC
rnacentral:lncRNA from 1 species